rnacentral:rRNA from 1 species
UACGGAGGGGGCUAGCGUUGUUCGGAAUUACUGGGCGUAAAGCGCACGUAGGCGGCUUUGCAAGUUAGAGGUGAAAGCCCGGGGCUCAACCCCGGAAUUGCCUUUAAAACUGCAUCGCUAGAAUUGUGGAGAGGUAAGUGGAAUUCCGAGUGUAGAGGUGAAAUUCGUAGAUAUUCGGAAGAACACCAGUGGCGAAGGCGACUUACUGGACACAUAUUGACGCUGAGGUGCGAAAGCUAGGGGAGCAAACGGG